rnacentral:lncRNA from 1 species
UGUCAAGUGGCAAAAUUCGAUGAGAAGAGAGGAGAAAACGAUGCUUAGCAUAAAAAACGAGGGAGGAAGGCCUCCUCCACCAAUGGUGGUGGUGCGCUACCCGAGGCGAAGACAGUGCACUGCCCAAAGUGUUAGUGCCCUGGUGCACUACAGGCUAUCUUGCAGGCAUACAGGUCUCCUACCGCGCGUACAGGCCCUAGGCACGCAAGGCCUAUCCACGUAGGGCUGAUGCAUAGACGCCCACAUACAAUGUGCGGCGCCUACCCGUUCAUGAGGUGACGUGUGGAUGGCUGCAUACGCGUGAUAAGAUGUGAGCAGGACUAGUCCUGCGCCAUGCGAGCGGAUGGGAUGUGCGCACUGUGCGCACAUUCUGCGUAUGCUGUGCGCAUGUGCAGACUUGACCGCACAGGCUGCGAGUGUUCAGCCUCUUGGGCCAGCGCACGUGUGGUCAAUUCUAUAUGGGCAUAGUGGGCUGCGUGCAUGGGCACUCUCGAGCACUCAUGUACUCAGUCUGUAUAGGCACGCGUGAAUGUUCGUGGGUCAUGGGGAUUGGGCUGCAUGUCUAACACACGUGUGGGCUUCCUUACUUGGGCGUGGGGACCUCCAAGUCUCUGCGUUAGGAAAGUUGCCUAUCUCCAGGUUUUUUAGAGAGUAUAAGGUCAUCUUGACUGCUUCAUCACAGGAUUGGGGAACAUC